AUACGGAGGGAGCAAGCGUUAUUCGGAAUCACUGGGCGUAAAGGACGCGUAGGCGGGUUUGUAAGUCAGGUGUGAAAUCCUACAGCUCAACUGUAGAACUGCACUUGAAACUACAGACCUAGAGUAUGGAAGGGGCAGAUGGAAUUAGUGGUGUAGGGGUAAAAUCCGUAGAUAUCACUAGGAAUACCGAAAGCGAAGGCGAUCUGCUGGGGCAUUACUGACGCUGAGGCGUGAAAGCGUGGGGAGCAAACAGGAUUAGAAACCCUAGUAGUCC
rnacentral:rRNA from 1 species